CAUACCUUUUUCAAACCACACCUCCUCUCAGAUGAUUUUAUCCAGAACAAUUCCCUAGCACUACAUAAAAGCAGAGGCUGGCUAACAGUGACGGACUUAGACUUAACUGAAGUACAUCAGCCCACUAAGGUGUUCUUACUGAUGCUGCAGUGCAGACUUUAUCUUUGGCCAGUGGAAGAGCAUCUUCAAGCUGGCUGCUGAGAUGUUAUUACCUAAUCCUACUCAUCUGUGGUAGUCUUCCAUCAGAUUAUUUGCUUUGUAGGAAGUCAGCUGCCACAUGACAAGAAGCGAAGGCUGACUACCAAAGACAGCGGAGAACUGCAACCUUCAGCCAACAGCCAUGAGCCAUGAAUGGAGCCUUCCAGUUGUAGUCAAGUCAUUAAAGAGAUACAGAGAGACACCUCCAAACCCAAACAGCUGGCUAAGCCUUGCCCAGAUUUCUGACCCCACAGAAAGGAUAAAGCAACACACAUCUGCAAGCCAACAGUAAAAAUA